AAUAUUGACAGGCCUCCCUCCAUAUUGACAAAGUCCACGAUCGUGUUCCAGAGGCCAAACAACUAAAAAAGACCAGUUUUCCUAAGGCUGCUCAAAUAUAUGUGAAAUCAAUCCCCCCACCAAAUGGAAGAUGUUAACUACUUGAUGACCAUGAGCACAGAGCCCCCAGGCCUCCUGGAGCCUAAGGACUGAUAAAGUUAACCCCUGUGACACCACCCUGUUCCCCCAUCAUCAGCCAAUCACAGAACUGUGCACGAUCUGAUCACACACCCUGCGACCCUCCUCCCUCACCUGGCUUUUAAAAAUGCUUUGCUGAAACCCUUCAGGGAGUUCUGGGCUUUUAGGGCAUGAGCCAACCGUCUCCUUGCAUGGCCUUGUAAUAAACCUUUCUCUGCUCCAAA